rnacentral:rRNA from 1 species
GGUUAAGUGAAUAAGGGCGCACGGUGGAUGCCUUGGCACUAGGAGCCGAUGAAGGACGGGACUAACACCGAUAUGCUUUGGGGAGCUGUAAGUAAGCUAUGAUCCAGAGAUUUCCGAAUGGGGGAACCCAGCAUCUUUUAUAGGAUGUUACGUCUGCGUGAAUACAUAGCGCAGUCGAGGUAGACGCAGAGAACUGAAACAUCUAAGUACCUGCAGGAAGAGAAAGAAAAUUCGAUUCCCUGAGUAGCGGCGAGCGAAACGGGAAAAGCCCAAACCAACAAGCUUGCUUGUUGGGGUUGUAGGACUCCGAUAUGGUAGUCUAUUCAGAUAGUCGAAAUACUUGGAAAAGUAUGUCAAAGAGGGUAAAAACCCCGUAGGCGAAAUUUGGAUAACACCUAGGAGGAUCCUGAGUACGGCGGAACACGAGGAAUUCCGUCGGAAUCCGGGAGGACCAUCUCCCAAGGCUAAAUACUCCCUAGUGACCGAUAGUGAACCAGUACCGUGAGGGAAAGGUGAAAAGCACCCCGGAAGGGGAGUGAAAUAGAUCCUGAAACCGUGUGCCUACAACAAGUUAGAGCCCGUUAAUGGGUGAUAGCGUGCCUUUUGUAGAAUGAACCGGCGAGUUACGAUAGCAUGCGAGGUUAAGUUGAAGAGACGGAGCCGUAGCGAAAGCGAGUCUGAAUAGGGCGAAUGAGUAUGUUGUCGUAGACCCGAAACCAUGUGAUCUACCCAUGUCCAGGUUGAAGGUGCGGUAAAACGCACUGGAGGACCGAACCCACGUACGUUGAAAAGUGCGGGGAUGAGGUGUGGGUAGCGGAGAAAUUCCAAACGAACUUGGAGAUAGCUGGUUCUCUCCGAAAUAGCUUUAGGGCUAGCCUCGGAAUUGAGAAUGAUGGAGGUAGAGCACUGUUUGGACUAGGGGCCCAUCUCGGGUUACCGAAUUCAGAUAAACUCCGAAUGCCAUUCAUUCAUAUCCGGGAGUCAGACUGUGAGUGAUAAGAUCCAUAGUCGAAAGGGAAACAGCCCAGACCACCAGCUAAGGUCCCCAAAUAACUAUUAAGUGGAAAAGGAUGUGGGGUUGCACAGACAACUAGGAUGUUGGCUUAGAAGCAGCCACCAUUUAAAGAGUGCGUAAUAGCUCACUAGUCGAGUGACCCUGCGCCGAAAAUGUACCGGGGCUAAAUAGUUUACCGAAGCUGUGGAGUGCACCAUUAGGUGCAUUGGUAGGAGAGCGUUCUAAGGGCGUUGAAGGCAGAUCGUGAGGACUGCUGGAGCGCUUAGAAGUGAGAAUGCCGGUAUGAGUAGCGAAAGACAGGUGAGAAUCCUGUCCACCGAAUGACUAAGGUUUCCUGGGAAGGCUCGUCCGCCCAGGGUUAGUCGGGACCUAAGCCGAGGCCGACAGGCGUAGGCGAUGGACAACAGGUUGAUAUUCCUGUACCCGUUGUUUUUGUUUGAGCAAUGGAGGGACGCAGGAGGCUAAGAAGUGCAGACUGAUGGAUAUGUCUGUUCAAGCAGUAAGUCUUGGUAGGAGUCAAAUGCUUCUACCUAUACGGACAAGCUGUGAUGAGGAGGGAAAUAAUAGUACCGAAGCUUCUGAUGUCACACUGCCAAGAAAAGCUUCUAGUGAGAAAACAACGGCCCGUACCGCAAACCGACACAGGUAGUCGAGGAGAGAAUCCUAAGGUGAGCGAGAGAACUCUCGUUAAGGAACUCGGCAAAAUGACCCCGUAACUUCGGGAGAAGGGUGCUGCUCUAACGAGCAGCCGCAGUGAAUAGGCCCAAGCGACUGUUUAUCAAAAACACAGGUCUCUGCAAAAUCGAAAGAUGACGUAUAGGGGCUGACGCCUGCCCGGUGCUGGAAGGUUAAGAGGAGUGCUUAGCGUAAGCGAAGGUACGAAUUGAAGCCCCAGUAAACGGCGGCCGUAACUAUAACGGUCCUAAGGUAGCGAAAUUCCUUGUCGGGUAAGUUCCGACCCGCACGAAAGGCGUAACGAUUUGGGCACUGUCUCAACGAGAGACUCGGUGAAAUUUUAGUACCUGUGAAGAUGCAGGUUACCCGCGACAGGACGGAAAGACCCCAUGGAGCUUUACUGUAGUUUGAUAUUGAGUGUCUGUACCGCAUGUACAGGAUAGGUAGGAGCCGUAGAGAUCGGGACGCCAGUUUCGAUGGAGGCAAUGGUGGGAUACUACCCUUGCGUUAUGGCCACUCUAACCCGCAGCCCUUAUCGGGCUGGGAGACAGUGUCAGAUGGGCAGUUUGACUGGGGCGGUCGCCUCCUAAAAGGUAACGGAGGCGCCCAAAGGUUCCCUCAGAAUGGUUGGAAAUCAUUCGAAGAGUGUAAAGGCAGAAGGGAGCUUGACUGCGAGAGCUACAACUCGAGCAGGGACGAAAGUCGGGCUUAGUGAUCCGGUGGUUCCGCAUGGAAGGGCCAUCGCUCAACGGAUAAAAGCUACCCUGGGGAUAACAGGCUUAUCUCCCCCAAGAGUCCACAUCGACGGGGAGGUUUGGCACCUCGAUGUCGGCUCGUCGCAUCCUGGGGCUGUAGUCGGUCCCAAGGGUUGGGCUGUUCGCCCAUUAAAGCGGCACGCGAGCUGGGUUCAGAACGUCGUGAGACAGUUCGGUCCCUAUCCGUCGCGGGCGUUGGAAAUUUGAGAGGAGCUGUCCUUAGUACGAGAGGACCGGGAUGGACUUACCGCUGGUGUACCAGUUGUCUCGCCAGAGGCAUCGCUGGGUAGCUAUGUAGGGAAGGGAUAAACGCUGAAAGCAUCUAAGUGUGAAGCCCACCUCAAGAUGAGAUUUCCCAUUUCUUUAAGAAAGUAAGAUCCCUGAGAGAUGAUCAGGUAGAUAGGUCAGAAGUGGAAGGCCAGUGAUGGUUGGAGCGGACUGAUACUAAUCGAUCGAGGACUUAACCAA